rnacentral:rRNA from 1 species
GUCGAACGGACUAAAAUUGUAGUAAUACCGUUUUAGUCAGUGGCGCACGGGUGCGUAACACGUGAGUUACAUGCCCUGCAGUGGGGAAUAGCCCGCCGAAAGGCGGAUUAAUACCCCAUGGUCCCGCAAGGGUAAAGGUGGCCGCAAGGCUGCCGCUGCAGGAUUGGCUCGCGGCCUAUCAGCUAGUUGGCGGGGUAACGGCCCACCAAGGCAACGACGGGUACUUGGUCUGAGAGGAUGAUCAGGCACACUGGAACUGAGACACGGUCCAGACACCUACGGGUGGCAGCAGUCGAGAAUAAUUCACAAUGGGCGAAAGCCUGAUGGUGCAACGCCGCGUGGAGGAUGAAGGUCUUCGGAUUGUAAACUCCUGUCAUUGGGGAGUAAGACCUGGCGGUGAAUAGCCGACAGGGUUGAUAGUACCCAAAGAGGAAGGGACGGCUAACUUCGUGCCAGCAGCCGCGGUAAUACGAAGGUCCCGAGCGUUGUUCGGAAUCACUGGGCGUAAAGGGAGCGUAGGCGGCGUGGUAAGUCAGAUGUGAAAUCCCGGGGCUCAACCCCGGAACUGCAUCCGAUACUGCCGUGCUUGAGGGUUGGAGAGGUAGCUGGAAUUAUCGGUGUAGCAGUGAAAUGCGUGGAUAUCGAUAGGAACACUCGUGGCGAAGGCGAGCUACUGGGCAACAUCUGACGCUGAGGCUCGAAGGCCAGGGGAGCAAAAGGGAUUAGAUACCCCUGUAGUCCUGGCAGUAAACGGUGUGCGCUUGGUGUGAGGGGAUUCGACCCCCCUUGUGCCGGAGCUAACGCGUUAAGCGCACCGCCUGGGAAGUACGGCCGCAAGGCUAAAACUCAAAGAAAUUGACGGGGACCCGCACAAGCGGUGGAGUAUGUGGCUUAAUUCGAUGCAACGCGAAGAACCUUACCAAGGCUUGACAUGCAUUUCUAAGCGCGUGAAAGCGCGUGACUCUUCUGAGGACUUGCACAGGUGCUGCAUGGCCGUCUUCAGCUCGUGUCGUGAGAUGUUGGGUUAAGUUCCCGCAACGAGCGCAACC